AUAGAACGGCGCGGGGUCUAUCUCUCGUCUUCCUCCUACCCUCACCGGCGUUCUGGAGCCAAACAAACAAACGACGGGGACAAGGAGCAUUGUUAUGCCAGGAUGCAUUGGACUCUGGAGUUUUUUGAUGCAACGGAAGCAGCUAGACUUCUUGAAUCAGUGAAAAUCUGGGUGUUGGGGUUGAAACUGGCAGGAUACAGCUUUUAUCUAGAGGAUAGUCCCACUUUGAUUUGUAUUCAAGUUUUGUUCACUUUGUCUUUCCUGGAAGACUCCAUGGUUGACUGGGAGAACCAGUGCGUUUGUGACAAUGAGAUACCAUGCAAUUCCAGCCUGAUUAUCUGAGAGAGGAAGAGAUUUGUGUUCAGACUAUGUGAACCACUUUGUUUUUUAGCCCCAAUUUAAAUCAAGAGCCUGGUGAACAGUCGGAAGAAACACUCUUAUUAAAGUUCCAGUGACUGAUAUCAAUUGUUAAGUUGUCGGCUUCUCUCUGACAGUUCAGUAUGUAUGUUCAGUCAAGCAGUGCUCUUCUUGUAACUGACUACAUUCCUGUUCUAGCUUGUUGUGGAAUAACUUCUUCUCAGGGCCACCCAAGGGAGGCAACUAUGACAAAUCCAUGUAAAUACUCUGAAAAUAAUCUCCUUAUGGGAACAGAUAAAACUAUACAAAAGGAGGAAAAAACCCUUACUCUUGCUUGGCUGACCUUUUGGUCAACCAGCUGAUGGGUGUGGUGAAGUUAUUGCUGUAAUAGUACUUAUUACACAUUGUCCUCUCUAUCAUAGGAGUUUGACUUAGAUUAAACAUUUUUGUUUGGUUUUGUUAGUGUAUUAGCUAGUUCAAGACCUUUCUUAAAGUUAGCUUGUUCACUCUCUGAGGAAGGAUAAAUAUCAGUGUCAUCUACCAUCCAUACUGCUAAACCAAUCAACUUCCCUGUACCCACCCCUACAAAAACAACAUUGUAAGUUGUAAUGACUUCAAACAAUGCAGCGUUUAUUACUAGUUAUGCAUUAUAAUAGCAUAAUUAGAUGCAGCAGGACAAUGUGAGCAUCUCUGAAGUAUAAUGGCCUGGCAGGCUACUGGUAAUGCAACAUGCUGUCAUGUGGAAGACUAACAUCUGGGUCCAAGGUCAGGUCCUCACUUCCUGGGCCAGCAGAAUAUAGGGGUACUGCAGAAGUUCCAGACAAAACAAGGGCCAGUCUUCCUUGGCUGGAGGGAGUAUGGGCAAGUAGUCUUGGUGAUGUUGGGUUUGUAGCAAGGCCAGUCGCUGAGUGACAAGAAAAAUCCACUGGAGGCUGAGGUGUGUUUGACAGUCACCCUUUCUGGGUUGGGUUUUGUUGCACGGGUUCUGUAUGAUGUCCAACUUGGCAAAAGUUUCUACCUGCAUUCUUCCACACAGUUUAAAAAGUAGUAGACUCAAAACGACAAAAUACAAACCAAACUGGGUCGCUCUUGUAUUUCCUCAGCACUCCUUGCCCUGACUUCUAGAACACAGAAUGCUCGUACUGCUGUCUUCUGCCUAGAACUAAUCCACCCUUCUUUUAAGGGAGUUAGCUGCACCUAAUCAGAUGCUAGCUCAGGAUAUCUCUCUGUGUUGUGUCUGAACUCUAGCAGAUCAUUAACAUAUCCAAUAUAUAAAUAGGGGAAACUGAGGCACUGUGCGGUUAAGUGGCUUGUUUUACAGUAAUUUGUGGCUUCUCUUAGCUCUCACAGUGGGUCAGUGUCAGAGUUGGGAACAGAAACAAAAGGGAUAUAGAGCAAUUCUCUCUCUUUCUGGCCCAGAAACUGUUCAAAUAUUUUCUACAAAGUGGAACAGCUUCAACAGGAGAGAUUGAGAAAAAUCCAGUACAGAAUAUUCCACAGCCCAGUUGUUAGGGACUCACCCAUGUGGUGGGAACCCCAUGUUCAAAUCUCUGUCCCAAUGAAUAUUCAAGUAUUUUAUACAAAGUGGAACAGUUUCAACAUGACAAACUGAGAGGGACACACCCAAGAAUAGCCUACAGCCUGGUUGUUAGGACACCCACCUGGAAUGCGGGUGAGGGAAGGGGAGACCUGGAUUCUAAUCUCUGCUCCAGACCAGAGCAGAGGUUUGAACCUGAGUCUUCCCUCUUCCAGAUGGAUGCCCUAACCACUGGGCUAAAGGAUAUCCAAGGGACUUCACUAACUCAGCUGUGCAUUCUGUGAAUGGUACCAAGGUCCCCAUGUAAAUUUAGUUUUUUUUAAAAAUGACCAAAACUAUUGAGCAAAUUCAUUAAUAGUUUCAGGCUGACUGAAACUGCAUUUUUCAUGGAAUAAACUAUUUGAAAAAUUUUGCUGAACCCCAUGUGGGAUGCUUUCCAAAAAAAUCCUGCAAAGACUGAACUCUGGCCUGUAUUUCAGCAAAGAGUUACACUAAGGUGCAGGAAAGGGGAAUGCACCAGUAGCAGUUGUACAUUAAUUUAGCCCAUCCCAUUAUACAGAUUGAUUCCUGCAAAUGUUGGGUUUCAACAUAGACAAAUGUUUGUACAGUUUCAACUCUGUUCUCACAACUUUAUACUGCUCUUCCCAGAUAAAGCCAAUAUAUCCCUGAUCUCUCCCACCCGAUCCUAUCUAUGAGAUGCUCCUCCUUUAAAAAAUAAAAAGGAAAAGAAAGGAAAUUCCCAGGUGAAAAAUUUAUCUUCAUCAUUAACUUCUCAAAGAAUAGUGAUCAGUUAAAGUAAGGUGGAUAGAAAUCUGAAUAUCUUACAAUUCAUGUAGAUUGUUAUGGAUUCCCAUAUCUGCUGCAGUCUCAGACCUUUCUGCAGAUUCUGCAUGAGGUUGGUGGAGGGACAAUGUACAUCUUACAUUGCCUCUCUGCCUUCCAAACCCUGCAGAGAACUUCCAUGUACCAGAGAUUAAGGAUGUGUGCCAUGGAGCAGGGCUGACCCCCUACUUUUGUACAGAAACAAAGAGAUCUAUGCACAGAAAAGACCUUCCAUAUGGCAAUCUGUGGGGGAUGGAGAAGAAUAACAACAAUCUGGCUCUAGAAUUUUAAGACAAAGCUGUUCUUAAUUAUCACUGUAACCAUUAUGAUUUAUCUGCAUUUGCAAGGCAUCAAACAUCAUAAAAGGAUCUGGGCCCAAUUUUUUAAAACAGAAGCACACUGCCAGAAAAUGGCAAAAAAAGGACAAUCUUCACAUAUCCUGGACCACCAUCAUAAUUUAAAGGAACUCAGAAGCGCUAUUUCCCCAGGAAUACAUCCUUGAUCCUAAUGAUAUUUCUGUAAAUGUUUUAAGUAAAACAUGUUUUCCCUUCCAAAUGUGUUCUGUAAUUUGAUGCCUUCAAAGAAAGGAUGUACGAGUCAUCUUCAUGAAACAUGCAACUGAGGCUCAUCACUGUACAGCCAACUAAAAUAUCGAAGUACUAUUAGCAGUGUUAUGUUACUUAUGUAGUUGCCCAAGGUUCUAAGAACCAGAUCUGUUCUUUUUACUACAGUAAGAAUUACUGUUGUGUUUUUUAUGUGGAAAGUGAGGCUAACAUUACAACUACAGAAUUAAGAUCAAAAUUUAGGUUGAAAGACAAGUUACUGCAGAGGUAUUUUCAUUAGAAAACCAGUGAAACAUGAGGCGUUGACCUGUGACCCACUAUAUCCAAUAUUACUUUUAUUUCUUGUUCAGUACUUGAUGCUUUAAUAUCUGUUUUCUGGAUUAAUUCUAGCAUGGGCUGUCAGAUUGGAUGGAGAAUUCUGUGUGUUUUUGGGUGGUUUGGAUUUGUAAAAUUUCAGAUUUUGCCUGGAAUGCUCCAUUAUUUCUAAUUAUUCCCCUUUUUCUGUUAUGAGAGUGAAAUUUACUUCUUCCUGUACCAGACAGAAUAAAUGGGCUGAUGUGCUGAA